GACUACUGGGGUAUCUAAUCCUGUUUGCUCCCCACGCUUUCGUGUCUCAGCGUCAGGUAUGUUCCAGAGCGCCGCCUUCGCCACCGGCCUUCCUCCCGAUCUCUACGCAUUUCACCGCUACACCGGGAAUUCCGCGCUCCUCUCCCACCCUCUAGCCUGGCAGUACCCUCUGCGCUUUCCGGGUUGGGCCCGAAGCUUUAACAGAAGGCUUACCAAACCGCCUACACACCCUGUACGCCCAGUGAAUCCGAACAACGCUUGCCACCUUCGUAUUACCGCGGCUGCUGGCACGAAGUUGGCCGUGGCUGCUUCUGGAGGUACCGUCCGAACGAUUGCUCGCUCCAUCUUCCCUCCCGAAAGGGGUUUACAAUCCGAAGACCUUCAUCCCCCACGCGGCGUCGCUGCGUCAGGCUUUCGCCCAUUGCGCAAUAUUCCUUACUGCAGCCCCCCGUAGG
rnacentral:rRNA from 1 species